rnacentral:rRNA from 1 species
UGGGGAAUCUUGGACAAUGGGCGCAAGCCUGAUCCAGCCAUGCCGCGUGAGUGACGAAGGCCUUAGGGUUGUAAAGCUCUUUUGGCGGGGACGAUAAUGACGGUACCCGCAGAAUAAGCCCCGGCUAACUUCGUGCCAGCAGCCGCGGUAAUACGAAGGGGGCUAGCGUUGUUCGGAAUUACUGGGCGUAAAGCGCACGUAGGCGGAUUUGUCAGUCAGGGGUGAAAUCCCGAGGCUCAACCUCGGAACUGCCUCCGAUACAGCAAGUCUCGAGUCCGGAAGAGGUGAGUGGAAUUCCUAGUGUAGAGGUGAAAUUCGUAGAUAUUCGCAGGAACACCAGUGGCGAAGGCGACUUGCUGGACUUAUGGUGACGCUGAGACGCGAAAGCGUGGGGAGCAAACAGGAUUAGAUACCCCAGUAGUCCCUGAGCGGGCUGGCAAGGCGCAU